UACGUAGGGUGCAGGCGUUAAUCGGAAUUACUGGGCGUAAAGGGCUCGUAGGUGGCCAACUAAGUCAGACGUGAAAUCCCUCGGCUUAACCGGGGAACUGCGUCUGAUACUGGAUGGCUUGAGUUCGGGAGAGGGAUGCGGAAUUCCAGGUGUAGCGGUGAAAUGCGUAGAUAUCUGGAGGAACACCGGUGGCGAAGGCGGCAUCCUGGACCGACACUGACACUGAGGAGCGAAAGCCAGGGGAGCAAACGGG
rnacentral:rRNA from 1 species